rnacentral:rRNA from 1 species
CCAAUAGCGUAUAUUAAAGUUGUUGCAGUUAAAAAGCUCGUAGUUGAACUUCGGGGUCUACCCAUUGGUCAGGCUUAAUUGUCUGCACUGGUGAGAUGGAUCUCUACCUUCUGAGGAACUUUCAUGCCAUUUAUUUGGUGUGGUUGGAAAUCAGGACUGUUACUUUGAAAAAAUUAGAGUGUUUAAAGCAGACUAUCGUCUGAAUACAUUAGCAUGGAAUAAUGAAAUAGGACGGACUGAUUCUAUUUCGUGGAUUUAUAGGAUCACCGGAAUGAUUAAUAGGGAUAGUUGGGGGCAGUAGUAUUCAAGUGUCAGAGGUGAAAUUCUUGGAUUUAUUGAAGACUAACUACUGCGAAAGCAUUUGCCAAGGAUGUUUUCAGUAAUCAAGAACGAAAGUUAGGGGAUCGAAGACGAUCAGAUACCGUCGUAGUCUUAACCAUAAACUAUGCCGACUAGGGAUCGGAUGAUGUUAAUUUUUUAAUGACUCAUUCGGCGCCUUACG